GCUUCGUGACUUCUGUGACAGGACGAAGAAAUAUCACAGCAUUUUCUCUUCUGUGUUUGCUCAGGAGAACACUGACUUCACCAGCUUAGUUUCUGGGCCUUCGUAAUGCAGAACUGGGUCAUGAAAAGGACAAAAAUGAGCUUGAUUGAUUAAGGUUAGGCCAAAUAGUUCCUCAGAAUGAAAAAGAUUAAGAGACUGAAGGACAUGAAAGAAAAAACUAGAGUGGGCCAGGUUUCAGAGAAAAUUCUGGGAAGUGGUAGAGACAGAAAGGAGGCUGGGGACAGUUGCAGUACCUGGUUUUGUGGAUUUUUGAGAGCAAAAAGAGGUUUUGAAGUGUUUUGAGGAUGAAAUCUCCCAGGGACAUUUUGUGAAUGUUUACUGAAAAGAUUUCAAUACCUUUUCGGUUUUUCUUUUUGAUUGAUGUUGGAUGGAUGCUCAUCUGAAUGUGGCAUCAUGUCAAGGCUAGAGUGCAAGAGUACACUUCUUUGUGGGAACUGUGAGGAUCUGGGCACCAAGAUAUGCCUGUUUUAUAUUAUGUAAUGGUGGUUGUUUUGAUUAACAGUAAUGCAUCAUUUAAUGAUGGGCAUACAUUCUGAGAAAUGCAUCAUUAUGUGAUUUUUUUCAUUGUGUGAACAUCAUAGAGUGUAAUUCCACAAACCAAGAUGGUAUAGCCUACUACACAACUAGGCUAUAUGGUGUAGCCUAUUGCUUCUAGGCUACAAACCUGUACAGCAUGUUACUAUAGUGAAUACUGUAGGCAAUUAUAACAUAAUGGUAAGUAUUUAUGUACCUAAACAUCUCUAGACAUCAAAAAAGACACAGUAAAAAUGAGGUAAAAGAUAAAAAUGGUCCACCUCUAUAGGGCACUUACCAUGAAUGGAACUUUCAGCAGGACUGGAAGUUGCUCUGGGUGAGUCAGUGAGUAAGUGGUAAAUGAACGUGAAGGCCCAGGACUGUACAUUACUGUAGCCUUCACCAACACUGUACUCUUAGGCCACACUACAUUUAUAAAAAAUAUUUUUCUUUCUUUGAUAUUAACUUAACCUCAACUUACUAAAAAUUUUUUCUUUGUAAACUCUUUAAAAACUUUUUGCCUCCUGUUAUAACACUUAGCUUAAAAAUGCAAGUCCAUUUUACAGUUGUACAAACUAUUUUUUUCUUGAUAUCUGUGAUGGUUAAUAUUGAGUGUCAACUUGAUUGGAUUUAAGGAUGCAAAUAUUGUUCCUGGCUGUGUCUGUAAGGGUGUUGCCAAAGAUUAACAUUUGAGUCAGUGGACUGGGAAAGGCAGACCCACCCUCAAUCUGGGUGGGCACCAUCUAAUCAGCUGCCAGUACGGCUGGAAUAAAAGCUGACAGGAAAAUGUGGAAAGUAUAGACUGGUUUAGUCUUCUAGCCUACAUCUUUCUCCCAUGCUGGAUGUGUCCUGCCCUUGAACAUCAGACUCCAAGUUCUUCAGCUUUGGGACUCAGACCGGCUCUCCUUUCUCCUCAGCUUGUAGACGGCUUAUGGUGGGACCUCCCUUUGUGACUGUGUGAGUCAAUAGUUCUUAUUAAACUCCCCUUUAUAUAUAAAUCUAUCCUAUUAGUUCUGUCCCUCUAGAGAACCCUGACUAAUACAAUAUCCUUAUCCUAUUUGCCUUUUUCUAUGAAAAUUUAAAAUGACAAUACAAACACCCCUAUUAGCCUAGGCCUGCACAGGGUCAGGAUCAUUGAUAUCACUGUCUUCCACCUCAACAUCUUGUCCCACAGGAAGGUCCCCAGGGGCAGUAACACCCACGGAGCUGUCAUCUCCUAUGACAACAAUGCCUUCUUCUGGAAUACUUCCUGAAAGACCUACCUGAGACGGUUUUACAGUUAACUUAUUUUUUUUUAACAAGUAGAAGGAGUAUACCCUAAAAUAAUGAUAAAAUGUAUAGUAUAGUAAAUACAUAAACCAGCAACAUAGUCAUUUAUGAUCCAGUACUAUAUGGGGUAUAUAAUUGCAUGUGCUACACUUUUAUAUGACUGACGGCACAGUAGGUUUGUUUACACCGGCAUCAUCACAAACACGUGAGUAAUGCGUUGUACUAUAUUAGGAUGGCUAUGAUGUCACUAGGUGAUAGGAAUUCUUCAGCUCCAUAAUAAUUUUAUGGGUCCACUGUCAUAUAUGCGGUCCAUCGUGGACUGAAAAUUUGUUAUGUGGUACAUGACUGUAUUUGUUUUCCGGUGGUGGUUACUGGGAAGAUCUGUAGAGAGAUUGCUGUUUGGUUACAGGAUUGUGUCAAAUGGACAAAACAGGACACAGCUGAUCGUUUGUGUCAUCAUGGUCACUGCUGAUGUAAGAGUCACAAGAUUAUCAAUAUACCUUAUACAAAGUUUUCAUUUUUCAUUUAACAGCAUGGUUUCCUAAUUUUCACUCUCUCUUUUUAAAUUUUUUUUGGUGCUGUCCACGCUUCUGUGGACAUGCCUUGGAUCUUGUUAAAUCCAGAAAUUGCAUCACCUCUGAAAUCUCAAAUCUAUUUCAUUUUGUUAUCCUCAUAGCUCAUUUGCUCAAGAAUAUUCUCUGCAGGACAUCUAUCUGUCAGCAAGUCUUGCUGGUUCUUCCUUCAAGUCAUGUCCCCAACCCAGCCACUGCUCACUGUCUUCACUGUUAACAUACUACCUCAGGCCACCAUCAUGUCUAGUUUAUAAUAACUUGGCUUUCCACACAUUACUUCUCACUGCAGCCAAAGUAAUUUUUAUAAUGUAACUCAGAUUUUUUACAUCCCUAUUAAAAAAAUUCCCAUAGUUUCCAAAGCCACUGGAAUUAAUCCAAAGCUCUUACUAUGGAUCCUAUAAAGCUCUAACUGAUUUGACACUUGAUUUCUUUAACUUCACUAUCCUCUGCUAGCCCCUUUGCCCACUACACUUAAUAUUCCCAUUUUAAUUUUUCAUCUGCAUUCCAGGCCCAUCUAUCUAACUAUAUACUUGACAUGUAUACUUGGAUGUCUCACAAGCAUCUCAAACUUAACCUGCCUACACACACACACACACACACACACACACACACACACACACACACACACCUUGUGCCUUUACCACCCACUUAAUUGUUCAGAGCAGAAUUAGUGGUUACUCGUUUCUUUUCUCUGUGAGGCCUGUCAUUUUUAUUUCAAAGAAAACCUUGAAGUCAUCCCUUCUCCCCAGUUCCAUUGCCAACACUCUAGUUCAAGUCACCAUCAUCACUAGGUUGGACUAAUAGAUUAGACAUAUUUUUUGGUCUCCCAUUUCUAUUUUUGCCACAGUCCACGUGAGUCUUAUCUUCAAUACCAGUGACAGCACGUCCUUCAAUGUGCAUGCUUUGUUGAUCUGCAUGCAUUAAAAGAAUAACAUGCUUUUGUGAAAAGUUGGGGGGUGUUGUCCAUCUGGCGAGAAUACAGAUCAGGCUUUGAAAAUGCCUUAAGAAAAUGCCUAACUUGCCAAUUAUACUUUUGGUAUUCAAAAUAUAUAGAUAUAGCAUCUGUAUUAGUUAGUUUUUAUGCUGCUGAUACAUACCAGAGACUGGGUAAUUUAUAUAGGAGAAAGGGUUUAAUGGACUUACAGUUCCACAUGGCUGGGGAUGCCUCACAGUCAUGGUGGAAGGCAAGGAGGAACAAGUCACAUCAUGCAUGAAUGGCAGCAGGCAAAGACAGAGAACUUGUGCAGAGAAAAUCCCCCUUAUAAAACCAUCAGAUCUGUGAGACUUAUUCACUGUCUUGAGAACAGCACAGGAAAGACCUGCCCCCAUGAUUCAAUGACCUCCUACUGGGUCCCUUCCACAACACGUGGGAAUUCAAGAUGAGAUUUGAGUGGGGACACAGCCAAACCAUAGCUUCUAUAUUGUUCCAACUCCAAAUCAGAAGAUUAGGCCUAAUAAUGCAUAGAUUGAUGAUGACAACUCAGGACUAUCCUGGAAAAUUCAGGCCAAAAAGUUAGGAACAUAUUGACUGCAAUAGGAAAUAGAAAAUAUGUGGGCUGUUGCUAGGAAUUCUUUCCUUUAACUAAAAUCUAUCUUUUUAAAAGUCAGAAGAGCAAGUAUUGUAAAAAAAAGUAAGUUUACACUUAUUCUACCCAAGGGGUAAAAACAUGUAGCUAAGUAAAUUCUUCAUCUCCCUUUUCUCAGAACUCCUUAAAGAACUUAGGGAAAUGUGAUGUGAGCAACCAUAGUUCCCUAGAUUACUCCACUUUUUUUCUGUUAUUAAAUAAGGAAAUUUUAUACCUUGAAUCUUAUAUCAACAGUUGCUAUAUAAAAACCACCCUAAAGCUCAAUGGCUUAAAACAAUAAUUUAUUUAGCUUAUGAUUCUGGUGGUUACCAGUUUGAGUUGUUUGCAGCUGGGCAGUUCUUCUGCUGGCUUCUCCUGGGAUCACUCAUGCAGCUGUAGUUAUCUGGUAUCUCGACUGGAGUGAGAUGGCCUAAAGAAGCUUUCUUCAACUGUCUGGCAGGUGGUGCUGACCAUCAGCUGGGCUUCUCUCUGAGGGUGGUUGUUAUCCUCAAGAGGGCUAGCAUGUGCUUUUAUCCAUAAGAGGGCUAGCCUGGACUAGAGUGUGAGAGCAGAAGCUGCAAGGCCUCUUGAAGCCCAGGCUAGGAAGCCAUACAAAGUCAUUUCUAUUGGCCAAAGCUGGCCACAGAGACAGCUCAGAUGCAAGGGGAAGAGAACUAUACUCUACCACUUGACAAGGGAGUGACAAAAUCACAUUACCAAGUGUUAGCACGCAGGGAUGAAAAGAAUUGGGGCCAUCAUUGCCAGCAAUCUACACAACUUCAUUACCCCUUUAGAGAAACACUUUCUCUGAGUUAUUAGAUUAGUGCAAAAGUAAUUGCAGUUUUUGCAUUACGUUCUAUGGCAAAACUGUAAUUACUUUUGUACCAACAUAAUACUUCAUAUAUGUAUAUCUGUAUGUAUGGUUAUGUACAUGUGUGUAUAUAGAUUACAUGCUGUAACUCAGAAAUAUACAUGUAUGCACACAUAGCAUACUUGUGCAUAAAUAAAUUAUUUACUAAUAUGUAGGUAUGCAUUAGUGAACCUAUAAACAUUUGGACAGGAGUUGUUUGUGGUUGUCUAUUAUGUUGUCUAAAUGCAUUUGUAAAAGGAUCCAUGCAAUAAAUGCAUAAAUAUGUCUUAGAAGAUGUGUAACUCUUAAAUAAAUAAUUCUUUUGUUCAGAUAAACAAUGCAUAAUUCAUCACUGGCCCUUAUUUUGGCAUCUAGAAAGCUCAGAGUUAAAUGUAAUGUCAUUGUCCAUUCUUGAUAUUAGCUUAGAUAUAAUUGUCUUUCACUUAGAAUUAGUUUCCAAUUGCAAUUAUUUACUUGCUUAUUGUUUAUGUGUAUUUAUUAUAAGCUACUUCAAUCAUUUUCAAAAUGAGAUGAAAUAUAAGCAAAACAUUAAAAAACAUAACAAUGUGUCUUUUGAAGUAUCAGAUGUAUUUUCAUUUUAGAGAAUGAUAAUAAUGCACUCUAGAAACUCUGGAGAACCAGUUCACUUUGGCAAUGUUUUUAGUCUUAGCUUAUGAAAUAAAGAUAGUUCAAAUAGUGGAGAAGAGUGCCCCAGAGAACUACUGGGCUCAAAUGCUUAUAGUUUAAUUCGUUCUAUUUCUUCCACUUCACAAUCAAUCAUCUAGAAAAGCCAUGAUGACUCAUCCUUAAAAAAGAGUCAUUGAUUUUAUAUCUCCAUUUUCAAUCUGCUCUUCAAUUCACCUCUUUCUCCUUCUAAUUCAGAAAGGAGUCUUCAUGGAGAAACAAAUAAUUAAUUUGGUUAUUGGCCAAUAUCAGGUUAUUCUCUCACAUGUGAGAGAUAUCUAAAAAUAAAGCUACUUUUUUCACUUUCGGUUCUUGUCAUUAUUUUUAGUAAAUUUCUGAAUUAUAAACUCCCAAUUCAUACCAUGCAUAAUAUUUUUCUUUGAUUUUCCUUUUCUCUCCAAAAGAAUCCAAAUAUUUCUCCACAACACAAUUGCAUUUGUCUUGCCCUUUUUAGACUAGAAGUGCAAAGAAUGCAAAUGGGUAUGGAGGCUAUACCAUUUUAGUCAUUUAAUUGUUCAAUCACACUUCACUGAUUCAGGGAUGGCUUAUCUGGCAAACUCUACCACCCAGGGCACAGUCACCAACCUGUAAUAAGCAAAGAAUUGCCAGGAAAAUGUUAUAUUACAUUCAAGUUGUCAAUUUUAAAAGACAUGGGAAGAUUUCCACCGAAAUUGUUUUUUUUUUUUU
rnacentral:lncRNA from 10 species